rnacentral:rRNA from 1 species
CGCCGGACGCGGGCGCCCUCGCGCCUUAUACGGAAGCCUUGCAAUCAGUCUGCUCUCUCGAAGCGGGCGACGCUUGACUGAUGCUGGGAGAUGGCCCUCUAGAAGCGCCUGACCAGCAGCGGCCGUGCUUGCGAGCGCGGCCGUCCACAGAUCAUGUUCGAGCGGUCCCUGAGGAUUAUGAUAUGACCGGUCCCGCCCUGCAAACGGGCGGGAGACUCGUUCCGUAGGUGCAAGAGUUCGCCUACCGCAUGCCACAUGCGCGGUCUGCACCCGAGGGUGCAGGCAACACCGUUCAAAUGCUGGGCGUGCCGGGCGCAAGUCCGUCACCAUCAGCAGCCGGCGCUUCGGCGCCCGGUUCACAGAUCAUCCGACGGUGACCUAUCGAGGUUAAGAUAUGAUCGGUCCCGGCCCGCUCUGGGCCUUGGGAGGCACGGAACCUGCGGAAGGAUCAUUA